GAUGAACGCUAGCUACAGGCUUAACACAUGCAAGUCGAGGGACCGGCGCACGGGUGAGUAACACGUAUCCAACCUGCCCUUUACUCGGGGAUAGCCUUUCGAAAGAAAGAUUAAUACCCGAUGUCAAGGAUGGGGAUGCGUUCCUUUAGGUUGUUGGUGAGGUAACGGCUAACCAAUCCUUCGAUGGAAAGGGGUGCUGAGAGGAAGGUCCCCCACAUUGGAACUGAGACACGGUCCAAACUCUUACGGGAGGCAGCAGUGAGGAAUAUUGGUCAAUGGGCGUUAGCCUGAACCAGCCAAGUAGCGUGAAGGAUGAAGGCUUAUGGGUCGUAAACUUCUUUUAUAUAAGAAUAUGUAUUAUAUGAAUAAGGAUCGGCGAACUCCGUGCCAGCAGCCGCGGUAAUUC
rnacentral:rRNA from 1 species